rnacentral:rRNA from 1 species
GAUGAACGCUGGCGGCGUGCCUAAUACAUGCAAGUCGAGCGAACAGACGAGGAGCUUGCUCCUCUGACGUUAGCGGCGGACGGGUGAGUAACACGUGGAUAACCUACCUAUAAGACUGGGAUAACUUCGUGAAACCGGAGCUAAUACCGGAUAAUAUAUUGAACCGCAUGGUUCAAUAGUGAAAGACGGUUUUGCUGUCACUUAUAGAUGGAUCCGCGCCGCAUUAGCUAGUUGGUAUGGUAACGGCUUACCAAGGCAACGAUGCGUAGCCGACCUGAGAGGGUGAUCGGCCACACUGGAACUGAGACACGGUCCAGACUCCUACGGGAGGCAGCAGUAGGGAAUCUUCCGCAAUGGGCGAAAGCCUGACGGAGCAACGCCGCGUGAGUGAUGAAGGUCUUCGGAUCGUAAAACUCUGUUAUUAGGGAAGAACAAAUGUGUAAGUAACUAUGCACGUCUUGACGGUACCUAAUCAGAAAGCCACGGCUAACUACGUG